rnacentral:rRNA from 1 species
GACGAACGCUGGCGGCGUGCCUAAUACAUGCAAGUCGAGCGAGUCUGCCUUGAAGAUCGGAGUGCUUGCACUCUGUGAAACAAGAUACAGGCUAGCGGCGGACGGGUGAGUAACACGUGGGUAACCUGCCCAAGAGAUCGGGAUAACACCUGGAAACAGAUGCUAAUACCGGAUAACAACAGAUGAUGCCUAUCAACUGUUUAAAAGAUGGUUCUGCUAUCACUCUUGGAUGGACCUGCGGUGCAUUAGCUAGUUGGUAGGGUAACGGCCUACCAAGGCGAUGAUGCAUAGCCGAGUUGAGAGACUGAUCGGCCACAUUGGGACUGAGACACGGCCCAAACUCCUACGGGAGGCAGCAGUAGGGAAUCUUCCACAAAGGACGCAAGUCUGAUGGAGCAACGCCGCGUGAGUGAAGAGGGGUUUCGGCUCGUAAAGCUCUGUUGUUGGUGAAGAAGGACAGGGGUAGUAACUGACCUUUGUUUGACGGUAAUCAAUUAGAAAGUCACGGCUAACUACGUG